AAUAUGUGACAUGGGGCGCAAUCCUGAUCCAGCCAUGCCUCGUGUGGUCAUAAUGUCUUCGGUUUGUAAAGCAAUUUAAGUAGGGAGGAAGGUCAUUAGGCUAAUACCCUGAAGUUUUCACGUUACCAACAGAAUAAGCAUCGGCUAACUCGGUACCAUCAACCGGGGUAAUACAGAGGGUGCAAGCGUUAAUCGGAAUUACUGGGCGUAAAGCGCGCGUAGGUGGUUCAGUAAGAUGGGUGUGAAAUCCCCGGGCUUAACCUGGGAACUGCUUUCAUAACUGCUGAGCUAGAGUACGGUAGCGGGUAGUGGGAUUUCCUGUGUAGCGGUGAAAUGCGUAGAUAUAGGAAGGAACACCAGUGGCGAAGGCGACUACCUGGACUGAUACUGACACUGAGGUGCGAAAGCGUGGGGAGCAAACA
rnacentral:rRNA from 1 species